CCGAUUUCACCGUAAUCAUCGAAAUCAUCGUGCCAUUGCUAUCCGUCAACGAUUUCACAAGAGAAGCGGAAAAUUUUUCUUCACCUUCCGUCUCGAUCUUUUAAAUCCGUCAACCUUCCAUUCGAACUUGAUAGGAAACUUAUUAGUUCCUUGAUGUGCUCGCUCCGCCUAACCCUGUAGCAUCACACAAUUUUUAUUAAAUCAGUUAAUCCACCGCAGCGCCACCGUUGGUCGCCAUGAGCCACGAACCAGUAGUAUUAACCCCGCCCGCACACGAGUCCGCCGCCAUUUGCCUGUCACCGUGCCUUCUGAUUUACGGAUAGCCACCGAAAACCGCUGUGACCCUCAUCGCAACGCCACUGCAAGCAUCAGUCCCGCAUCUGUUUCCGAUAUUGGCUUGGUUCGCAUGCUAUUUGUCGACGAUUUGAUUUCCAUGUUGCUUUGACUUGCUAAACUAAGGUAAUAUGGAAUGAUCUGUGAUUUCAUGUGAGGAGCGUUAGGAAGUCGCUGGUCAAGAUUCUUUAUUUCAGUAAUGUAAUAAAUGUAAUUAGGAUUUUUUUUUUAAAUUUUAUUUAAUGAUAUGGAUUGGUUUUUAGU